CCUACGGGUGGCAGCAGUAGGGAAUAUUGCUCAAUGGGGGAAACCCUGAAGCAGCAACGCCGCGUGGAGGAUGAAGGUUUUCGGAUUGUAAAACCCUUUUGUUAGAGAAGAUAAUGACGGUAUGUAACGAAUAAGCACCGGCUAACACCGUGCCAGCAGCCGAGGGAAUACGGAGGGUGCGAGCGUUAGUCGGAAUCACUGGGCGUAAAGAGCGCGGAGGCGGGAUAGCAAGUCAGAUGUGAAAUCCUAUGGCUUAACCAUAGAACUGCAUUUGAAACUGUUAUUCUAGAGUAUGGGAGAGGUAGGUGGAAUUCGUGGUGUAGCGGUAAAAUGCGUAGAGAUCGAGAGGAAUACUCAUUGCGAAGGCGACCUGCUGGAACAUAACUGACGCUGAUGCGCGAAAGCGUGGGGAGCAAACAGGAUUAGAUACCCCUGUAGUC
rnacentral:rRNA from 1 species